rnacentral:lncRNA from 1 species
AUGAAUGAGGAAUUUCUCACACCAGAAAGCCACGCUGGAGGUGCCCCCACCCCAGGAGAUGGGAGGCGUGGGGCAGCCUGGGGCUGGGUCGGGCGCUGCACCCUGCUGGAGCUGCUCCCUCGGGGCUGGCGGAAGUGCCCAGGGGGGCAGGAGGGGCAGUUUGGGGUGUCCUCCACCCCACAUCCUUCAGCGUCAGCCCCGCUCUGGGGCAGCAGAGAGCUGCUGCCCUUCUCACCCCGGCUUCCCAUCCUCGUGCUGCAGUGCCAGGCACCGCGGGGACCCCGAGGGGAAACCCAGCUCUCGGUGGCCCCCUCGGUGGUGUCACACACUCAGAGCCCUGUAACAGCCUCUCAGGGAGUCUCUGCUGCCAGCACAUGCCUGCACGAGCACGCACACGCAUGUGCUUGUGCACACACACGCGCACAUGUGCUCACAUGCGUGCACAUGCACAUGCACGGACGAUGUGUGCGCACAUAUGCAUGCACAUGUGCACAAAUGCACACGCAUGUGCACAAAUGCACACACGUGCACAAAUGCACGCACACGUACACACCUGCACGCACACACGCAGCCACGCACACCCCCCAGGGACGAGCAGGAGCACAGCAGGGGCACGGGGGUGCCAGGCGUGUGCCAGCCCUGUGCCACGGUGCACGCGGGGGGCAGGCGGCUCCGUGGGGCUGCUGCCAGGAGCCGAGCGGCGAGGCUCAGAGCGGCGAUGCCUGCACGAGGCAGCACUCCAGGUUAACGGGAGGGCAGGGGGGGAAAGGCGGGCUGCCGUGCCCUGAGCCGGCGCUGCAGAAGAAGUGCCCUGCUCUGAGGCUGCUGCUGCUAAAAUGGAGCAGGGGAGCAACGCCCGAACAAAGCCGCGUGUCGAGGCGCCGUGCGCUGACAUCUCUUGGCACAGGCAGGUUGCCCCCGGCCACGAGAGCGGGUGACCAGGUUGCCAGAGCACCCGCCGUCCUUCCGUACCGCUCACCCUUGCUGGAACGCCGCAAACUCGAUUAUUUUUAG